GAACGCACCUUGCGCUCCUUGGUAUUCCGAGGAGCAUGCCUGUUUGAGUGUCAUUAAUAUAUCAACCUCUUCAGCUUUUGCUUGUCGAGUGUUGGAUGUGGGGGGCGUUUUUGCUGGCCUUUUGAGGUCGGCUCCCCUGAAAUGCAUUAGCAGAACAAAUUUGUUGACUCCGUUCAUUGGUGUGAUAACUAUCUACGCUAUUGACGGGUGAAGGCAGAGUUCAGCUCCUAAUAGUCCAUUGACUUGGACAACUUUUUCAUUUAAUGUGACCUCAAAUCAGGUAGGACUACCCGCUGAACUUAAG
rnacentral:misc_RNA from 1 species